UACGGAGGGUGCAAGCGUUAUCCGGAUUCACUGGGUUUAAAGGGUGCGUAGGUGGGCAAGUAAGUCAGUGGUGAAAUCUCCGGGCUUAACCCGGAAACUACCAUUGAUACUAUUUGUCUUGAAUACUGUGGAGGUCAGCGGAAUAUGUCAUGUAACGGUGAAAUGCUUAGAUAUGACAUAGAACACCAAUUGCGAAGGCAGCUGGCUACACAAAUAUUGACACUGAGGCACGAAAGCGUGGGGAUCAAACAGG
rnacentral:rRNA from 1 species